UCAAGCUAAUAAGAGCAUAAGGUGAAUGCCUUGGCAUCAAGAACCGAUGAAGGACGUAAAAAGCUGCGAUAAGCUUCGGGGAGGCGCACAUAGCCAACGAUCCGGAGAUUUCCGAAUGGGGAAACCUAGCUGAGAAAAGCUCAGUUGGCGUACAGUGAAUCAAUAGCUGUGCGUAGGGAACGCUCUGAACUGAAACAUCUAAGUAGGAGCAGGAAGAGAAAGAAACAUCGAUUUCCUAAGUAGUGGCGAACGAACGGGAAACAGGCCAAACCGAGAUACAUGUAUUUCGGGGUUGUGGACUACAUCAUGUGAUGGAGGUAAGGUAGUAGAAUUGUUUUGGGAAAGCAAGCCAAAGAAAGUGAAAGCCUUGUAUACGAAACCUGAAGACCCACAGUAGUAUCCAGAGUACAUCGGGACACGUGAAACCCUGAUGGAAGCCGGAGGGACCACCCUCCAAGCCUAAAUAUUCCUUGAUGACCGAUAGCGAAGAAGUACUGUGAAGGAAAGGUGAAAAGAACCCCGGGAGGGGAGUGAAAGAGAACCUGAAACCUUAUGUUUACAAACAGUCGAAGUUUUUCGGAACGACGGCGUACUUUUUGUAGAACGGUCCGGCGAGUUGCAGUGACAUGCGAGGUUAAGGAGUACAGCUCCGGAGCCGAAGGGAAACCAAGUCUUAACUGGGCGUCUAGUAUGUUAAUGCAGACCCGAAACCGGGUGACCUAUCCAUGGGCAGGUUGAAGUUACCGUAAAAGGUAAUGGAGGACCGAACUCACAUCUGUUGAAAAAGGUGGAGAUGACCUGUGGAUAGCGGAGAAAUUCCAAUCGAACUCGGAGAUAGCUGGUUCUCCUCGAAAUAGCUUUAGGGCUAGCCUUGAGGUAAAGUCUAAUGGAGGUAAAGCACUGAUUGGACGCGGGUCCCCAAAAGGAUACCAACUUCUAUCAAACUCAGAAUGCCAUAUAGAUAUACUCAGGAGUCAGACUAUGUGAGAUAAGUUUCAUAGUCAAAAGGGAAAGAGCCCAGACCGACAGCUAAGGUCCCAAAGUGUGUGUUAAGUGGAAAAGGAUGUUAGGUUUCUAAGACAACUAGGAUGUUGGCUCAGAAGCAGCCACUCAUUUAAAGAGUGCGUAACAGCUCACUAGUCGAGAGGUCUAGCGCCGAAAAUGUCCGGGGCUAAAACACACCACCGAAGCUACGGAAUUACCUAUGGUAAUUGGUAGAGGAGCAUUCUGUAAGGACGAAGCACAAUUGAAAGAGAGUGUGGACGAAACAGAAGAGAGAAUGCCGGAAUGAGUAGCGAGAUAUAUGUGAGAAUCAUAUAGGUCGAAUGUCUAAGGUUUCCUGGGUAAAGCUGAUCUGCUCAGGGUAAGUCGGGACCUAAGGUGAGGGCGAGAGCCGUAAUCGAUGGACAACAGGUAGAAAUUCCUGUACUACGUAUAAUCAGAACUGUGGGGACGCAGGAGGAUAGGAAAACCGGAGAAUGGAAAAAUCCGGCUAAGUACAAAGGUGUGAGUGAUAGGCAAAUCCGUCACUAUAAGCUGAAGUACGAAUGGGAGCGAAGAAAAGUAGCGAAGUUUCUGAAUCCACACUGUCAAGAAAAGCCGCUAUUGCGUUAUACGUACCCGUACCGCAAACCGACACAGGUAGACGAGGAGAAAAUCCACAGACCGACGGGAGAAGUGUUGUUAAGGAACUCGGCAAAAUGACCCCGUAACUUAGGGAUAAGGGGAGCCAACGCAAGUUGGUCACAGAAAAGAGGCUCAAGCGACUGUUUAGCAAAAACAUAGGUCUAUGCGAAACCGUAAGGUGAUGUAUAUGGGCUGACACCUGCCCGGUGCUGGAAGGUCAAAAGGAGAGGUUAGCGUAAGCGAAGCUUUGAAUUCAAGCCCCAGUAAACGGCGGCCGUAACUAUAACGGUCCUAAGGUAGCGAAAUUCCUUGUCAGGUAAGUUCUGACCCGC
rnacentral:rRNA from 1 species